AAAAUGCUUGAAAGAUAGAAGUUUAAGAGAUUUAGUCAAAGAAAAAUUAGGGUUUGCAAAAAUAAGUUAUGGAAAUGAGAAACCUGGCCGUGAAACUCGUAUAUAAUGCCAUAGAAGGCAUCAUCAGACAAAAAGCACCGGAGAAAAGGCCGGAAACAGACCCAAAAAAGCUUCAGCGACCUCUUUCAUUGCGGAAGCUGCUGGCUUCAAACUUUAGAGAAAAAAUAGCGAUACAAGGACUCAAUGGUUGCUGGAGGUCGAGAGAAGUGAGGGGGGAGUGAGCCGGAGAGGCGACGGUGAACAUCGGAGAAGACGGAGAGAACCAGAAGGUUCUAGAGAGAUAAAGGGUUAGAGAGCAUCUGUUAGAGAGAUAGA
rnacentral:lncRNA from 1 species